UCCAAACAGAGACAGUGAAGAGGGGAGGGAGAGUGGGUCUGAAGGGGAGUUCCAAAAGACAUACGACGUACAGAGGAGGGAGAGUGGAUCAGAAAGCAAUGUCUUUGAGAAAGACGAGGAAGGGGACGAAGUGAGCAGGUUUGAGGAGGAGGAAGAGGAGAAGAGAGAGAGUAGGUCCAAGGAGGAAGAUCCCGAGAGAGAAAUCCCAGGUUCCCCAGAGAGAGACAACAGGGCUAAGGAGGAGGAAAAGGAUGUUGCAAAGAAAGAGGUUGAGGAGUUAAUCCCCCCAGAAAAAGAGAUGGAAGAAGAGCCAGAACUUGGGGACGAAGCCCAGCCAGCGAUCCAGUCAAACCUCUCCUCUCCCAUUCUUGGUGCCCCAGAAGAACCUGAAGCCCAGGAUAUCCUGGCCAUUUCAAUAGAAACCAAGUUAGAGUCUGAAACAGAGGACACCCCUAUUGUCGUUUCGCCUGAGAUGGAGCCUGCCCAAGACGUGAUGUUAGCAGAGAAGGAGAGCCAGAUCCAUCUCGAACAAAACAAUGAGGCUUCUCCACAGGAGGAACCCAAGGGCCCUGGUGAUCCAGAAAAAUUGGCAGAGGCCAGCAAACAGACCAGGCCUCAGAAAAUGAGCCGAAUCCCGGUUCUCUCUCGGUCUGAGGAGGACACCAGCUCGGACCAGGACCAGUCGGCGGCGUCCCAGUCAUUCAAGUCUCGUCAGAGGGCCAAGCGACCUCACCUAGCCCGGAUGGUCAUGGAAAGGAGGCAAGGUCGCAUGCUAAGACUGGCUUCUGUUUCCUCUGCGUCCUCUGCGGAUGAUGGCUGUAAAGUUCCAGCAGAGAUCCAGUCAGAGGAAGACACCCAUGAUGAGGACAACUAUCUGCCCAGGAAGGAGAGGGGAAUUUGGGGGGAGAGGAGUGAGGGGCGUCAAAGGAGCAGAAUACCCCGUCCUGUCACGGCUGUUAAGCUACAGGGAUCCUCUGUUACACCAUUUCAUGCUGUCUCCCAAACUGGCCCCAGUGCUAAUCUCCCCAAACCCCAACUUUCAACUAUAUAUGCUAGGCAUCAAUCUCACAAAACUAGGACCCCAAGAAUAAAUGUUCCACUGCACCAGAGGUCCCAGACUCUGCAGUCCCGACCCGGACCCGGGACCAACUCCUCCUUCUUAUUCUCCACCCCCCAGACCCCCCUGCGUGGGGUCAUCUCCCGAACCCCUCUCUCUGCAUGCCCCUCCCCCCGUAGCCUCAGCACCUCCCCAUGUUGCUACUCCACUUCCCGGACCGACAGCCCCUCCCCUCAGCGCCCACGCCGGGGGGCUGCAGUUACAGAAGUCCGGAGGCAGCUCAUAUCCGUGCGGGCGCAGACUGCACUUCCGCUAAAACCCAGACCGCCUCAAACCGAUGAUUCCUCAGCCCCUGGGACGCCCAGGAGGCGAGGCAAACUUUACCCGUUGUCAUCUACAUCCACACCCACCAAGGGGAAGUCAGAUGCUUCUGAGAGCAAGACAACCACCAGAUAAUAUAGCCUAGCUUAGUGUAUCAGGGCUAUCUAUCCACCAGACCAUCCACACUGCACUUCACACACCCCUUUAUCUACUGUAUGUCAGAGUAACUCCACGACCUCAAACGUGUUUGUGCAAAAACACUGUUUCAACUCUCAGCUUAAGAUAACAAAGAGGGGUCUGCUUCUAAUCACAGUUAAGGCCAAGAACAAAACCAGUAAUAGAGAGCACCAGACAGCAGUGAGUCCCCCAAUGCCACAGACUAGGGAAGUGGGUGUGACCCCCAAUGCCACAGACUAGGGAAGUGGGUGAGACACCCAAAGCCACAGACUAGGGAAGUGGGUGAGACCCCCAAUGCCACAGACUAGGGAAGUGGGUGAGACACCCAAUGCCACAGACUAGGGAAGUGGGUGAGACACCCAAUGCCACAGACUAGGGAAGUGGGUGAGACUCCCAAUGCCACAGACUAGGGAAGUGGGUGUGACCAUGGGUGUGACCCCCGAAUGCCACAGACUAGGGAAGUGGGUGAGACUCCCAAUGCCACAGACUAGGGAAGUGGGUGUGACCCCUCAAUGCCACAUACUAGGGAAGUGGGCGAGCCCCCAAUGCCACAGACUAGGGAAGUGGGUGUGACCAUGGUUGUGACCCCCAAUGCCACAGACUAGGGAAGUGGGUGAGACACCCAAUGCCACAGAC
ensembl:lncRNA